ACCAGGUAUGGUGGUGCACACCUGUAAUCCCAGCAAUUCUGGAGGCUGAGACAGGAGGAUCACAGGUUCAAAGACGGCCUCAGCAGAAGUAAGGUGCUAAGAAACUCAGUAAGACCCUGUCUCUA
rnacentral:sRNA from 1 species